rnacentral:piRNA from 1 species
UACUGCUUCACGGCAGAAAUAGGCAGG